GUUGAAAGUGCGUUUCCUGUUAGCAACCCAGGAGGUGUAGAACUAAUGGCGUCCCGUUUCCUCGGCAGGGUACGCAAGUAGAUGUAACAAUUGUGAAAAAAAAUGAUGACCUAGGCCCAGUUUAGUUUGUCAGAUUCCGGAAAUACACCUGAUUUAUUUGGACUGGUCUCCAGCAUACUGGAUGAGCCUGACAAUCCAGAAUCAUUAUCUGACUGACUGAAGCAGAGCUUGCAAGAAAUUUUCCUGGAAAGCGAGUGUCCAGUUCAAACAAUACUCCUAUUCCUCGCCUGCCUUCCAACCCUUCAAGAGUAGAUCGUUUAAUUGUUGAU